rnacentral:rRNA from 1 species
CGCUGAGUUUGAUCCUGGCUCAGGAUGAACGCUAGCGGCAGGCUUAACACAUGCAAGUCGAGGGGUAUAGUUCUUCGGAGCUAGAGACCGGCGCACGGGUGCGUAACGCGUAUGCAAUCUACCUUUCACAGAGGGAUAGCCCAGAGAAAUUUGGAUUAAUACCUCAUAGUAUGUGAGAAUCGCAUGGUUUUUCACAUUAAAGUUCCAACGGUAAAGAUGAGUAUGCGUCCCAUUAGCUAGAUGGUAAGGUAACGGCUUACC